GCUGCAUUAGCUAGUUGGUAAGGUAACGGCUUACCAAGGCAACGAUGCAUAGCCGACCUGAGAGGGUGAUCGGCCACACUGGAACUGAGACACGGUCCAGACUCCUACGGGAGGCAGCAGUAGGGAAUCUUCCUGCAAUGGGCGAAAGCCUGACGGAGCAACGCCGCGUGAGUGAUGAAGGUACUUCGGAUCGUAAAUACUCCUGUUAUU
rnacentral:rRNA from 1 species